GCAGUGAUUGACAACUUACCGUUUGACGGCUAUGAUUGAUGUUUAAUGGCUCUUAACAAAAACGUAGAGCUUUUGACCAUCUUUCUGCCAUCGCCCUGGUACUUUCAACAAGUAGAAU
rnacentral:precursor_RNA from 10 species